CUUGUAUUCCUUCCGUCCGGAAAUACUUGUCAUUGAAAUGGAUAUAUCUAGAUGUAUUUUAGUUCUAGACACAUCCAUUUUGAUGACAAGUAAUUCCGAACGGAGGGAGUACUUG
rnacentral:pre_miRNA from 1 species